ACUGUCUGUACGGAGCCUUUUCCGAAAGAUUUUUCACCUAAGAUAAUGGCUCUUUUAUGGUCUUGCAAAGCUCCAGCCAAAAUCUCGGAAGCGGAAGCCGAACCGUCAUUGAUAAUAACGACAAUAGGCAGUCCUUUGGCAAUAUCUCCGUUUUUGGCCGUGUAACGAACCGUGUCGGAUUCAUUGCGGGAACGGGUUGAAACAAUUUCUCCUUGAUCCAAAAACAGGUCUGAAACGCUGACGGCCUGAUCCAACAAACCGCCCGGAUUGUUGCG
rnacentral:ncRNA from 1 species